UUGAUGUCAAAGGCGAAGAGUGGUUUGACGAGGUCUUGGUUGGAUGUCGUUGAUGGGAUCUCGCGAAGAAGGUGGCCGCCGCAUUGGCUUGACUUUGGGUCCCGAGGGGACCAUUUCGGGUUUCAGAACAGAAUUCGACUCAACUACUCGGUUGGCAUGGCGAUCACAAUCUCUCGAAAUUCGACGAACGAUCUCGACUUGUCAAUGAGUAUUGUACCAUUCAAGGCCUUGGUGGCCAAUAAUUCGCUGGAUGUAUUGGCCUGCAGCCCCAGGCAAAGCUAACUGAGCUCGAGAGCACUUGAAAGACAGUUUUACCCUUUUCCAGCAAGGAAGGAGCAACUCCAUUUGUAAAUUGAGCAAGAGUUGAGGGAAGCUGGCCGACUUUGGGCGAGUGUGGAAACGUAAAUAUACACGAAUGAGGAGACGAAAUCUUCGUUCCCCUCUCGAAAUUUCAUUUUGAAGUCGCGUCUCGUUCGAGGUCUUUAAAGAUUACCCCCUUCUCCGAAACCGUCAUGACCUUAAUCCGUGCAUCUCUUUAAAAGCUUCUUUUACAAUCCCCAAAAUUGAGUCAUAAAUAUCAGAAACAGACAUUGGAGACAAAUUUCAAGGUUGGCUCUCAAGAAGUCAGCGGGCAAAGCGAUGAAAAGAAGUUGGAAGAAAAUACAA